UACCUCGUAGCUCAGUUGGUAGAGCAUUGGACAGGUAUCCCAAAGGUCGCGGGUUCGAUCCCCACCGUGGUCA
rnacentral:tRNA from 1 species